rnacentral:lncRNA from 1 species
GAACUUGAGCCUGGACGGUCAAGGCCGCAGUGAGCUAUGAUCGCAACUAGCACUCCAGCCUGGGCGACAGAGUGAGACCCUGCCUCAAAAAUAAUAAUAAUAAUAAUAAUAAUAAUAUUAAUAAAUAAUAAGGACUCCAGGGAGUUGCUUGGACGGCACUUUCCCUACGUAACCGAAAAUAGACACCAACUCCUCCUAGGUUGGUUUUUUUUUUUUUUUUUUUGAGGCAGGGUCCCACCCUGUCAUCCAGGCUGGAGUGCAGUGGUGCCAUCUUGGCUCACUGCAGCCUCAACCUCCCAGGCUCGAGUGAUCCUCCCACCUCAGGUCCUAAAGGAAGAGUCGCUACAUUGGGGACUGUUUGGACAAGGAGAUCCACGGGGUAGACUUGGCGGGAUUGUCCCUGGGGCAGCCUGGAUCCUGAGGCUGCCCCGCCUCCUUCCUCAGCCCCUCCCUGGUCAGGCGCUCCUGGUGGGUGGGGGGGUAGUCCAGGCUUGUCUUGCAACUGUAUGUUCUCUUCAGACCCCUCCCUGGCGAUGCCAGAUUCACUGGGCUGGCAGAUUCUGCCCCCAAACCUGUCCAACCAGUUGUUUGAGAGGAGGGGGUACCUGGGAGGGGCAGCAGGAGAUGCCAGGAACAGCUUCCCCUAGCCCAGCACAGACUACAGACGGGGGAGCCUCUGGGGCUGCAGACACUGCAGACGGACGGACAGACAGAUGGACAACAGCGGGAGGCUUGGCCCGGCCAUAGGGCUCUCUGCGGGACAGUCCCAGCUGCUAGUGUCGCUGUUGCUGCUACUGACCCGUGUCCAGCCUGGGACACACGUGGCUGCCCGAGAGCACAUCAGCUAUGUGCCCCAGCUCUCAAACGACACCCUGGCGGGGAGGCUCACCCUGUCCACCUUCACGCUGGAGCAGCCUCUAGGCCAGUUCAGCAGCCACAACAUCUCUGACUUGGAUACCAUCUGGCUGGUGGUGGCCCUCAGCAACGAGCUUCAUGGCCCCACGGACAAACCAGGACAUCCCUGCUCCUGCCAACUUCUCCCAGAGGGGCUACUAUCUCACACUGAGGGCCAACCGGGCGCUGUACCAGGCCAGAGGCCAGCUCCAUGUCCUCCGCAUCGGCAAUGAUACCCACUGCCAACCAACAAAAAUUGGCUGCAACCAUCCCCUACCAGGACCCGGCCCCUACAGGUGAGCGGCUCUGCCAGGCCCUGGCUCCUGCCCGCAUGCACCCAAGCCGGAGCCUGAGGCAGCUCCUACGAGGCUCACCACGGCCCCAGCAGGAUGCCUGGGUCCCCUGCUCCUGCUUGGCCAAAGGGAAGAGGAAGCAGCAGGCAGGGGCUGGGGAGGCCUUCAUGAAUUACGUGAAUUAUCCUUCUUUUCUUUUUUUUUUUCCUUUUCUUCUUCUUCU